UAGGAACUUGCCUCCUACCUCAAGCUGAAGCAAAGAGCACAGUAGGGGGCGGAGCAGCCUUAAAUAGCCUGCAGCUCCACCCCUGUCAACUGGCCCCCACCAAGUCUGGGCUCCUUCACAAGGGCCUGUAUUUUAGGCUUUGCCUGCCAGCUGUGGGUGGGACAACUUGAUUGCUUCCACUAUUGCUAUGUAAAUUGGUGGAAAGAAUUGGACAUUCAAGUUAAUAAAGGAAUCAUCUGCAUGCUCACAUCAUUACUUCCUCUGGUUUUGCACCCUCCCAAAAGACGUCUCUGCCUUUAAACUGACCAACUAUCAGCUGUUCUUCCUGCCAUGGGGAUCUCCUUCUUCUGUCAGUGACAUGAGAGAAAUCUCUGGCCAAUCCCUGUGUGGCUCCUAGCCAGCAUAGUUUCUAGGCCAAUCAGAGGGAGGUGUGGGAAAUCUGAAUAGCUGUCAGAACUGCAUAAAAUGUGUUGCAUUUUUCUGUGAAUUUAUGUUUUGUACAUUUUGAAGUGUUUUGUUGAUACUCGUAUCACUUUUGGCCAAACUAAUAACUUUUUGUAGUUUGCCUUCAACCUGGAGUUCUCUGUCCUGACUGAUCUGGUUUAGCAGAAGCUCACCAGGCAUAGACCUUCUUAUCUGCAGUCCUAGCUAAAAUGACUAUAUCUGGACAGAUAUUUAAAAAAUCACCAGGGUCAAUAUAAAGAGCCCUUCUUAUAUCUCCCUGUAAAUUCUGGAUCCAGGGCUCCUUCGGUUGAGAUUUAUACCAGGAUAACUAAGCUGAUGUAGAUGAGCCCACAAUCUAUGAAAGCUUAUCCUACUUUGUUCUCUUGGGGCCAUUCUGCACAGAAAUAAAUGCAAAGAAAACUGUCAUUCAAAAUGCCAGGUUUCUUUGCUUUUCUAGGCCAAACAGGGAGCUGAAACUUUGCCUUUUGGGCUGGGGAAUGGCCAGAUUACCCACUCUUGCAGAUUCAUGACUAGCAGGAGUGGGCAUGAAAAUUGUCCCCCUCCACUCCCAUUUAGCCUUUAA
rnacentral:lncRNA from 1 species